rnacentral:rRNA from 1 species
GGCAUCGAUGGAUAGGGGUUCUGAGAGGAAGGUCCCCCACAUUGGAACUGAGACACGGUCCAAACUCCUACGGGAGGCAGCAGUGAGGAAUAUUGGUCAAUGGGCGCUAGCCUGAACCAGCCAAGUAGCGUGAAGGAUGACUGCCCUAUGGGUUGUAAACUUCUUUUAUAUGGGAAUAAAGUGCAGUAUGUAUACUGCUUUGCAUGUACCUUAUGAAUAAGGAUCGGCUAACUCCGUGCCAGCAGCCGCGGUAAUACGGAGGAUCCGAGCGUUAUCCGGAUUUAUUGGGUUUAAAGGGAGCGUAGGCGGGUUGUUAAGUCAGUUGUGAAAGUUUGCGGCUCAACCGUAAAAUUGCAGUUGAUACUGGCAUCCUUGAGUACAGUAGAGGUAGGCGGAAUUCGUGGUGUAGCGGUGAAAUGCUUAGAUAUCACGAAGAACUCCGACUGCGAAGGCAGCCUGCUGGACUGUAACUGACGCUGAUGCUCGAAAGUGUGGGUAUCAAACAGGAUUAGAUACCCUGGUAGUCCACACAGUAAACGAUGAAUACUCGCUGUUUGCGAUAUACAGUAA